rnacentral:lncRNA from 1 species
GGGAAGUGGAUCUGAUCCAAUCCAGUGUUGGAAUCUGAGAAGAAUCCAGGACAGUUGCACUUCAGAUGGGAGCGAGCUGGUGCCACGGAGCGGCUGCAGAGGGUUUGGAGAAACCAGCAAAAAAAGAGGGACAGAAAUGGGCUUUGGCUUAAACACCAGAGGCAGAGUGGUGUAGCAGAUAAAGGUGUGGACAGCAAAGGACUGAGAGGGUAGCCCCAGGGCUGUGGGCAGUACAUAGCAGGUGCUCAGGAGUCAUCGUCAUCGUGAGCAAAUCAGAUGUCGCUACAGGCCCAGACCGGAAACCCAAGUCUGCACAGGGAGGAUUUGGGAAGAGAAAGGCCUGCUCACCCUUCUGUCCUGCAUGGUCACUCUGUCCCCUCUGAGGACCAGGUUUCCCUGCACCUCCACCUUUGAGGCAGAACAGCCCAAGUCCUGGGAGUUGGUGUCACCUCCUGCCAACACAGGGCUCAGUAGAGGUCGUGGGCUCUCCUGGCCCCGUGUCCAAAGGCCUGGGCCCUUCACUUCUAGGUGUGUGUCUCAGUGGGAAAGUCCUCAGGGCACAGGGCACACUGGUGCUUCUGGCAUCCCCGCUGCAGACAGGACACAAACUCUCCCCUCCAGGCAAGCGACCUCUCCUGGGAACUGACCCUUCCACAGGGCAGUUCAGACCAGCUCAACGGAAUUAUCCUGCCACUGCAUCCCCAAAGUUCCCCUCAGGGACCUCUUGACACAUGCCCCCAGACCUGGCUGCUUCCCAGGUGCUGCCAGCACGGAGCUGGUGGCUCAGGCUGCCCACCAGGACCCCAUAGAAAGUUCUCCUAAUCCAAUGGUCUUCUGCCCAUUCCCAACUCUAGUUUCUGCUUCUUGAGACCAAAAAAAAAAAAAAGUGGGUUUCCAAGGAAUUGGUGCAGACUCCACUCAAAACUAGGGUUGGUUUGCAUUUGUGUUUGGGUCACGCAUGAGCUGUCUGAGCUCCUGGCCACUGUUCUAUGGAGCAAGGUGUUUUCUGCUGGUGGAGGGAGACCAGGUGCAGCAGUUCUCCAGGUGGUGGGGGAAAGGACAAGGAAGGGCAGCCUUUGUUCAGAGAAACCAGGAGUCAUAUCUGGAUCCACAGGGGGCCUGGUGGGAAUGUACUGGAAAUCCCACCUUCCCCAAGCUGCAGCUAAUCAUAAUCCCUUGAGGAAAGUAUUAUCCAACAUCAUGGGGAACCUAAUCCAAGCCGGGAGCUUCAGGGAUGCGUGUUGAGUGUGGGGACCUCCCCUGGCUGUGGCUAAUCACAACCCCAAGGGAAGCUACUGCUGCCAAACCAUGCCGUCGCUGCCUCCUGUGGCCAGGUCACCAGGACCCUCCCUUAACACCAAAUCUGUCACAGCCACCCCCAUUCCCCCGGAGAGCAGGACACAAGACCCUCACAAGAAGGUUUGCUGAGGGACCUAAAGGAUAAUAAGGCGAUUAAGGGGGCAGGAGAACUUGAGGCGAUUUCCCCACCAAGGCCAGCUCUGUGAGCUGCAUGUCCUCUCUGGAGGCGUCCAGGGGUCCCUGCUUCUCCCUCUGCUCAUUUCGCUCUUGCUACUCUGUUUAGCUUGAAUUCUUUCCAGCAGUCACAAGGUGGGGGUCACCAAGGACCCUGUGGCUACCUCGGCUCCCGCAGGCCUGCUCAGCAACAGCUGGGUCACCAGAAAGCCGGCUUCUGCUCAUUGCAAAGGUACAGGCCCACGUGGCAGCCUGGACCUCCACAACACGGCCCUGUUCUGCUCCCCCAGAGGGUGGAGCAAAGUUGCAGUUCAACAGCCAAGAAACCCACCUCAAGAAGACCCUGCUCUGGACAGAAAGCCCACCCCCAACAGCCCCUGCUGGUGAGGGGCGUGGUGCGGAGCGGGAGCACCCUUGGCUGCCUGAAGGACAAGGACGGUGGACACAGGGCGCUGUUCAGCACAGCUCUGCUGGUUUCCAUGGAAACCACACAAAUUCCAGGGAGGAAAUGAAUGCGGAAUGUAAAAUAUUUGCUUAAUUUCAAUAGGAGUGGAUCCUAAGCUGUUUAUCCCCAGCCUGGCUGACCGCUCCGGGGCAGACUCAUCUCUGGGAGUCCCCCCUUCAAUCCAUGGCUGUUUUAAUUGGUUUUUCCAGUGGUUGAUUCCUUGAGAACAAAGGACAGGAAGCACAAAGCCAGACCAAACGCUCCAGGGGGACAGAGGCAGGGCUGCCCUCGGCCCUGUGUCCCCCCAGGGUCCCAUCCACCUGUUCCCACCCCCAUAGCUCUGGGUUUUAGGGAUAGCCCUUGCUGCUGGUCUGCCUCCUGGGUCCUGUGCAGGUCACCGGGUGUGAAAAUCCACCAGCCACACUUGAGACGUGUACAUCAAACUCCAAUAAAGGCUCACAUCACGGCCA